CACCGUUUGGAUGAACGGAAAUUUAUUUCGAGAAAAUAAGAGGGAAAUGGGUUUGAAUGGGUUGCAAUAAAUUGCAAAAUUACACAAACGUAUGUAAAAAGAAAGUUGUAUAAAAUUUUUGAUAAAAUGAAAUGAGAUGAAAUAAUAUAAAUCAUACAAACUCUGUACCUAAUAAAAAAGGGAAAUAAACAUUUUUAAUAAAGCAAGGAAAUUUCAUGUAAUGAGCUACAAUGCUUUCCGUAUAAUAAACUGCAGGCAAUUUUGAUUUUAAAUAGCUGUUUUUUAUAUUUUUUUGAAAGCCCUAGCACGAUAGAUUACGAGGGCGAGAAUAAUGAUCAAAGCUUUAAAAAGGCUCGCAGCUUUGACAUUUGGGAUUUGCAAACAGCGUGUUGGGAGUGAUCAUAAAAAUAAAAAGAAAAUUGCAACAUCAAGAGCAAAUGCUGUAAUUGUUAAAGUAAAUUGACAAUGAGCUGAUGCCGAUCCAUGUCACACCUAGCAAAAGGAACAAAUAUUUAAUUCGGCCAUGCGAAUUCGAAAGUGAAACUUCGAAUUAAGUUAACUCUAUUUUUAUUUUUAUUGAUUUAGAUUUUUGAA